GUUUUUUGUGUUAAUCUGGGCCAUUUGAUCAAAUUAAUCAAGGGAUCUCAAUCAAUAAACUUCAUUUUAGUUUGAUCCCUAUCAAAUUCUAUCAAUCCCUACCAAUCAAAAUGAAAAAAAAAUACAAAAAAGAAAAAUGAAGAACAAAAAACAAGGAAAAGAUGAUAGAAAACUCUCUCUAUUCACGUGUCUAGAGGGACACGUGUCCGUCCAUCAUUGGAUUCAUAUAUCUUUUUUUUAAAUGAUAUCACCAAUUUUCAGCUAGCUACCACUCUCUCAGCACCCGGAAAAGAAAAGGAAAUGAGUAAAAAAAAUAGGUUUUCUCAAGCCAAG
rnacentral:lncRNA from 1 species